rnacentral:rRNA from 1 species
UACAGAGGGGGCAAGCGUUGUUCGGAAUUACUGGGCGUAAAGGGCGCGUAGGCGGCCUUCUAAGUCAGACGUGAAAUCCCCCGGCUUAACCUGGGAACUGCGUCUGAUACUGGAAGGCUUGAGGAUGGGAGAGGGAUGUAGAAUUCCAGGUGUAGCGGUGAAAUGCGUAGAUAUCUGGAGGAAUACCGGUGGCGAAGGCGGCAUCCUGGACCAUUACUGACGCUGAGGCGCGAAAGCUAGGGGAGCAAACGGG